rnacentral:rRNA from 1 species
AACGAACGCUGGCGGCAUGCCUAACACUGCAAGUCGAACGAGACCUUCGGGUCUAGUGGCGCACGGGUGCGUAACGCGUGGGAACCUGCCCUUAGGUUCGGAAUAACUCCCCGAAAGGGGUGCUAAUACCGGAUAAUGUCUUCGGACCAAAGAUUUAUCGCCUUUGGAUGGGCCCGCGUUGGAUUAGCUAGUUGGUAGGGUAAAAGCCUACCAAGGCGACGAUCCAUAGCUGGUCUGAGAGGAUGAUCAGCCACACUGGGACUGAGACACGGCCCAGACUCCUACGGGAGGCAGCAGUGGGGAAUAUUGGACAAUGGGCGAAAGCCUGAUCCAGCAAUGCCGCGUGAGUGAUGAAGGCCUUAGGGUUGUAAAGCUCUUUUACCCGGGAUGAUAAUGACAGUACCGGGAGAAUAAGCUCCGGCUAACUCCGUG